GUCACAAUAACGAUCAUGGAUGGAAUGACCCUAGCUUGUGAUGGUAUAAUGCUCCACAACAAUAUCAACAUUUUCUGAAUUCUUGUAUGCCUUCUCCACCUGUUCAGGAACCACAUCAGCUGUAGUUUCAUGAGCCUACCCACUCUUUAUGAGCUGCUGGCAGGAAAUUGGAAAGCAAGCUUGAUUCUCUUGUGAAUUUGGUGACACAGCUGGCAUCCAACCAGAGACCAGCACCUCCAUCUGCAUCUAUUGCACGAC
rnacentral:lncRNA from 1 species